UGCGGUACUUAUUAAAAACAUGUCUAUAUCCAGGAGAUAACAGCACAGCUCCUGUUUGGUGAAGCUAAGCUGCAGAUGGAAUCAUGAGAAACAGAAAUCCUACCCCUGUUUUCACUGCUCCACCUCGACAUAAGAGCGUACUUUCCUUUUGCACAUCACAGUUGUUGAUGAAGUCAUUACUUUGAGCUACAUGUGACUGCAGGUGGAUGCAAGAAGGUUUGAGCACAGCACUGAUUCAGGGUAGCGGCUGCAAAGAGAGGACAGGAAGCGACGGAGAUCUUGCAGCUUAAACGCAACGCCAAAUUUGCAGGAUGCAUCUGCCAAGAGAUUGUCUGAAUGACGCACGUCAAGCUCAGCAGGCGCAGCUCCAUUUAUGACUUCAUCAAUAAUGAUAUUUUUUUCAAUACUACUGCAUAAUGACUUCCAUAACCUGCGGGCAUUGAUUGUAAGGGUUCAAGCAUGACGACGGUUCCUCAGUAGCAGAUCACAGAGCUCUAAAUGUGAAGCUAAAAGACGAGUUAAAAGAAGAGAGGGAGGAGGACGGAGGUCAGAGGAGCGUGAGGAGGAGAUGGAUAGAUGUGUGUAAAUGUUACUUCUCCAGCAGCAGGAGAAGGCCAGGAGUGACACUUAUGUCACACUUGGUGCUCUGCCUCUCCCUCUAUCUCCUCCCCUCCCUCCCUCGCUCGACUUCUCAUGCGGCUGUCCUGUGACGACGAGCAGACGUGGAGGUUAGCAUCACCGAGAGGAUGGAGGGGGCUCGGACAUAAAUAGAAACUGACCUAUCGUGAACACACGCUGAUGGUUACUGAGCAGGAGGAUUAAAACAUAACCACUGAAGGCUUUAGAGUGUGAUGACGUCCCUGUGGAUUCAUGGAACUGGUGUCCUCCACUCAGAUAGCCAAACACUCUGUUCCUCUCCGACAUGAAGAAGUAUAAUCAGGCAUCUCAGGUCGGCUCAGCUUUACCUGCACAGGGUCUGAGCAAAGAGGCUGAACCAUGAGCAGAAGAGAUGAGAGACCUGGACCUGAAGCUGCAUCCAAUGGAUACACAAGGAGCAGACUUAAAAAUGAUUUGUGAAGAUUUCUUCAAAUCCUGCAAAACUGGUCCUGAAUAAAAAGCCCCGGUUCAUUCUGGCUUAAAUGUA